rnacentral:rRNA from 1 species
UUGGGGUUUUAAAGUGUACGCAGGCGGUUUUGUUAAGCGAGAUGUGAAAAGCCCCCGGGGCUCAACCUGGGAACUGCAUUUCGAACUGGCAAGCUAGAGUCUUGUAGAGGGGGGGUAGAAUUUUCAGGUGUAGCGGUGAAAUGCGUAGAGAUCUGAAGGAAUACCGGUGGCGAAGGCGGCCCCCUGGACAAAGACUGACGCUCAGGUACGAAAGCGUGGGGAGCAAACAGGAUUAGAUACCCUCGUUA